rnacentral:rRNA from 1 species
GACGAACGCUGGCGGCGUGCUUAACACAUGCAAGUCGAACGGAAAGGCCCUGCUUUUGUGGGGUGCUCGAGUGGCGAACGGGUGAGUAACACGUGAGUAACCUGCACUUGACUUUGGGAUAACUUCAGGAAACUGGGGCUAAUACCGGAUAGGAGCUCCUGCUGCAUGGGGGGGGUUGGAAAGUUCCGGCGGUUGGGGAUGGACUCGCGGCUUAUCAGCUUGUUGGUGGGGUAGUGGCUUACCAGGGCUAUGACGGGUAGCCGGCCUGAGAGGGUGACCGGCCACAUUGGGACUGAGAGACGGCGCAGACUCGUACGGGAGGCAGCAGUGGGGAAUAUUGCACAAUGGGCGGAAGCCUGAUGCAGCAACGCCGCGUGCGGGAUGACGGCCUUCGGGUUGUAAACCGCUUUCGCCUGUGACGAAGCGUGAGUGACGGUAAUGGGUAAAGAAGCACCGGCUAACUAUGUG